rnacentral:rRNA from 1 species
GAUGAACAAUGACAGAAUGCUUAACACAUGCAAGUCAACUUGAAUUUGGGUUUUUAACUUAGGUUUGGGUGGCGGACGGGUGAGUAACGCGUAAAGAACUUGCCUCACAGCUAGGGACAACAUUUGGAAACGAAUGCUAAUACCUAAUAUUAUGAUAAUAGGGCAUCCUAUAAUUAUGAAAGCUAUAAGCGCUGUGAGAGAGCUUUGCGUCCCAUUAGCUAGUUGGAGAGGUAACGGCUCACCAAGGCGAUGAUGGGUAGCCGGCCUGAGAGGGUGAUCGGCCACAAGGGGACUGAGACACGGCCCUUACUCCUACGGGAGGCAGCAGUGGGGAAUAUUGGACAAUGGACCGAGAGUCUGAUCCAGCAAUUCUGUGUGCACGAUGAAGUUUUUCGGAAUGUAAAGUGCUUUCAGUUGGGAAGAAACAAAUGACGGUACCAACAGAAGAAGUGACGGCUAAAUACGUG